AGGCUUAAUACAUGCAAGUCGAGCGGGCGUAGCAAUACGUCAGCGGCAGACGGGUGAGUAACGCGUGGGAACGUGCCCUUUGGUUCGGAACAACACAGGGAAACUUGUGCUAAUACCGGAUAAGCCCUUACGGGGAAAGAUUUAUCGCCGAAGGAUCGGCCCGCGUCUGAUUAGCUAGUUGGUGAGGUAACGGCUCACCAAGGCGACGAUCAGUAGCUGGUCUGAGAGGAUGAUCAGCCACACUGGGACUGAGACACGGCCCAG
rnacentral:rRNA from 1 species